AACCAAAUAACAAUUUAGAAGAAAAAGAAAAAGAAAAAUCCAAAAAUCCUCAAUAUAUGAAACUGGGCAAAGAUUUUAUUUUGCUUUGGAAAGAGUCGAUUGUAAGAGUUGUAAGUCUACAACCCCCUUUAUUUUGAGUCUACUUUGAGCCUUCAUGAUGACCCUUCUUUCUAACCCUAUCCAAAAACCUUCCCAAUAAGACAUCCCAAUAAGACUUCAAGAAUGUCAAGAGACGCAUGCAAUGAGCAACAGUUGUCACACGACAGAGAACACUGUCAAGUUGCUUACAAAAGAAAGAGAAAAAGAAAUAGAAAAAACGAGAGAGUCUUACUAGUAAAAACUCUCACGGGCACUGUAAGGCGACGGUAAGCAGACAUGAAUAAAUGAGAGAGACUUGUAGGUGAAAAUCCCUUGGGGAACCACUAGUUGAAAGUGAGUCGUGAAGCUGAUGCGAAGAAUUGACACGAACAAGCCCGACCUCAAAGGUCAUAAGAAUGGCAAAAGGGAAGAUUGGAUUAGUUUGAUAGAUUAGGCCGUUGAGUCCAAAAUGCAUGUCAUGACCAUUAAGGCUAGUUAUUGAAAAAAAAGAAAAAAAAAACUCUUCCUUUUGUCCUUCCAACAUGGGCAUUUCUUGUUAAUACUUAUUUCUUUGCAUCAUUGUGUCCUUCACUCCAAGUCAGUCCUUGUCAAAACAAGCAAGAAAAGAUUUCAAAAUCUGCUAUCAGCUUUUCAGUUGCACAAAGUAAAUUUGGCCAUCACACUCGAUUGUUACUGUCAAUGCGCCUUGAGGGUUCGAGCAAAGGCUCCCCCUAAUGACUCUUGUCAGCCAACUUGGCGCAAGCAAAGAUUUGAGAAACUUCCCUUUGUCGGAUCUUUUUUUCUCUUCUUUUUCUCUUCUUUUUCUCUUUUUUUUGAAACCACUUUCCUUGCACUGCUUUGUUCUUGUUCAAACAAAGAAAAUUUUGUCAGUUUUAAAAGUGGUGGUCAUUUUGUUGCCUUGAGUCUUAAGCAUCUUGGAUUUUGCUCGAUCAGCUUGAGUCGGUCUCAAGAGAAUUUGUCUUGCUAAUGUGUAUAAAAUGUUGCCAUUGCAAUCACAUUUUCCUCCUAGGAUAAAAAUCCCUAGUCUGAUGGAUUUUCUCCCAAUAAAAAUCUUAGUCUGAUGAAUUUUUCUCCUAAGAUAACAAACCUAGUCUGAUGAAUUUUCUCCUAGGAUAAAAAUCUUAGUCUGAUGAAUGUUUCUCCUAAAGUAAAAAAAGGACCUAGUCUGAUGAAUUUUCUCCUAGGAUCGAAAUCUUAGUCUGAUAAAUCUUUCUCCUAAGAUAGAAAAUAUAGUUUAAUGAACUUUCUCCUAGGAGAAGAAAUCUUAGUCUGAUGAAUCUUUCUCCUAAGAUAACAAAAAACCCAGUCUGAUGAAUCUUUCUCCUAGGACAAAUAUCUUAGUCUGAUAAAUCUUUCUCCUAAGAUAAGAAAACCUAGUCUGAUGAACUUUCUCCUAAGAUAAAUGUCUUAGUCUGAUGAAUCUUUCUCCUAAAAUAACAAAAAAAACCUAAUCUGAUGAAUUUUCUCCUAGGAUAAGAGAUCUAGUCUGAUGAAUCUUUCUCCAAAGAUUAAAAUCCUAGUUUGAUGAAUUUUCUCCUAGGAUAGAAAUCUUAGUCUGAUGAAUUUUCUCCUAGGAUAAACGUCUUAGUCUGAUGAAUCUUUCUCCUAAGAUAGAAAACCUAGUCUGAUGAACUUUCUCCUAGGAUAAAAAUCUUAGUUUGAUGAAUCUUUCUCCUAAGAUACCAAAAAAGAAGAAGAAAAGAGACCUAGUCUGAUGAUCUUUCUCCUAGGAUCAAAAUCUUAGUUUGAUGAAUUUUUCUCCUAAGAUGGAAAACCUAGUCCGAUGAAUUUUCUCCUAGGAUAAUAAUUUAAAAAGAAAGGGGAAGUCUAAAUUUGAAAAAAAAAGGGGGCCAAUUUUAAUUUUCUUAAGUUAUCAAUGUUUAGUUUUCUUGAAAUCAGGGGCCCCGCCUGGAGAAUCGGGUCAGUUUUUACUUUAGUCAAGUUUAGUUUAUAGCUUUUUGCAAGCUCAAUCUCAAAUCUAGGAGACGCACUUCCUAGUUUGAUUUUUUUUGGAUUUUCUUUCUUUAGGAGACGCACUUUCUAAUUUUAGGAUAAAGGUUUUACCCCUAGCAGGCGCAUUUCCUGGUCUGAGUCUUUCAGGUUAUAUUUUUUAGGAGACGCUUCAUAGUUUUGUUCAUUCAAGUUUUACCCUAGGAGAAGCACUUUCUAGUCCGAGUCAUUUAGGGUUUUCUUAGUAGACGGAUUUUCCAGUCGAAAUUUUCUCGGUUUUACUCGCAGGAGACGCACAUCCUAAUCGAGUCUCCAAUUUUACUCAUAAUUGCAUCCUUCAUCAAUAACAUAGGUGAUUCAUAGGUCUGCUAACAACUCACAAAUCUUCUUAGUGCAAAUUGGGGCAGAAAAGUUUCUUUUAUUUUGUCUGUUUUGCUGUAGUAGCAGGUUAGCACCUGGAGAAUGAGGGAAUUCGUUUCGGAAUUACUUCAAAUUUCAAGCCAGUAGUAGGCGCCCACCUGAAGAACGAGGGAAGUCAUUUCAGAAUUCAAUUCAAGUUAGAAGUAGCAGAAGCUUGCGACAAUAAUGCGAGUCAACAAUCCGCGAUGACCAACCGAAGGAGUCUCAGUCCAGAAUAAAAGAAAGAAAAAAAAUAAAAAGAAAAAGAAGUGAGCUUAAAGUGCAGAAGCGGAAAAAAGAUGAGGACUGCUCAAGACAUGAUUGAAGUCACAAGCUUUGCAUGUCCCGCUUUGAUCCGAGAAGUUGAAAAGGGAAUGAACCAGCACCUGCAGCUAACAAGCAUCAAGAUUCAGAUCAGAGUCCACAUGAAGAACCAACCAAGACUCAAGAUCAAGCUUCAGAAGACUCAUAGAUAGGAAUCUUGUAACUCGUAGCUGAUAAGCUUAGUUAGUCUUUUUCAUUUUUGAUUUUGAUGUAAUAACAGGACCGCGGAUCGGAACCUCGAUGGAACGGAACCUCACUCGACUCUCGAACUCAUCAUUCUACCAAAGCUCCUUGAAAUACACGUGACCUGAUUCCCUUAUAACCCGGGAUAUGUAGGUUGUCCAAAACCAGGACUCAGUUGCACUCUUGCACUCUCCUCUAUUUUCUUUGUUUCUUUCUUUUUGAAUAAAUGGUAUGGUCAAAAAUUAGUCACAUGACUCACUUUGUCUUUUCCUGAAAACUCUUUAUGUUUCCAAGAAAAGAGGGGCAGCUGUGAGCACCUAAUUUUUGACCAUAUUUGGAUUUUCACUCACUUUUAGUACUUAAAUAGUUGUCAAAUUUAACUUAAUAUUUUAGUUUUAUUUCACCUUUUUAUAGGUUUAUUUUAGAUAAAUUGAAAACAACAAAAAAUAGUCAUAACUUUACAUAUUAAUUGUGUUCUUAUUCUAAAAAAAAAAAAGAAAAAGCUUCCAAAAAAUAUAUUUUUAAAGGGUCUACUCUAUCCUUUUCAAGUUGAAUUUUAAUAAAUGAAUUUUGGAUAGUUAGCAUCUUUUAUCUUUCCAUAUUUAUCAAGUAGGGGUAGUAUUUUAUUUUAUUAACUAAAAAUAAAGAAAGAAAAGAAAAUAAAAAAAAAAGUAAAACGAAAAUCAAGAAAAUAAAGUAAUAACGUGACAAUAUUUUUCUUCAUUCCUUUUAUGAAGUUUCAUGCACAUUCCUUUGAGUUGAUUCAUAGAAAAAAAAUAAAAGAUUCUUUCCACUUUUAUCAUGUGGACCCCUCACAAGAAGACAAAAGGGAAUAACAAACUAUGCACAGUUCCAUUUUUAGGGUGGAAGGGAAACUCAUGUUUCUUAGAAGGGGUGGGGCCCACAUGAUUUAUGCUUUUCUCUCCAAGACCACUAUAUAGAUAUUAGUCACAAUGAAAGACAAAAAAACAGAGACAGUAGAAAAAGAAACGGGAAAAGAGCAGAAAACUAAAGAAAAAAAACGGAAAAACAGAGAGAGGCAGGGGAUAGAUAGAGAGAGCACGAGAGAUAGAGAGUGACGAGGGAGGAGGCUAGCUCCUUCUUCUUCUUGAAGCAGCAGCUAACAAACGGGGUCAUCUUCUUCAACGAGGUGUUGGCUAGUGAAAAGUACAUCAUCUACACUCCUCAAAAUCAUCUUCUUUGCUCCAUUGAAUCUGCAAAACAAAGCUAAAACCCAAUAGGAAACCCAACUCCAAAAACGCCCUGAAAGCUGUCCCAAAAAUUAAAAACAAAUCAGCCACCAAGCAACUCCAAAAAUAUUCCAAAUACUAGCCAAAAAUUCCAUUAAAUAUCACCUUAGAGCAGUCCCGUUUGCACCUAAACUACAAUAUUUUUGUCGAGUUUCCUCCCACAGUUAUGUUUUCGAGUCGAAGUUUUCCGACAUUUUUUUUUCCGGCGAAUUUCGAGGUUCCGGCGUGGUCUUUGGUUAGCGGGUCUGUCCGUGUCUGUUAUCGUCGGCUCGAUCUUCUUUGUACACCAGCUGAGAAGCUUUUUUUGAUAUUUUGGAAGUUAUAAAAGGUCUGUUUCUUACAUUUCCUUAGUUCAUCUAGUUUUCUUUUGCUUAUUAUAAUUUGGUGUUUAUUUUUGAUUAGCUUGUGCCUGUUGUAUGUCAGCAUAAUUCUAGUUGUUAUCUUGUUUGAUUUGUUUGUUUUCAUAAUAUUCUAUUGGGUUUACUCCUUUGAGUUGUGAGGGUAAAAAUUGUUGAUUCAAAUCAAUUAAGCAGCUUGGUGGAUGUUUUAAUUGUUCUUCGGUGUUAGCAUACAUUUAUCUUGUUAACUUGAUUAGUUUAUUUUUUUUUUUAAUAUUAAUUGUUUUGUUCUCUGAAUUGUGAUAAUAGAUUUGAUAUAAUGGAUUUGGACUUAUUAUGUUGGGCCAUUAAUCUAUUGGGCACUAUAGUUUAUUCAAUUCUGCACGAUAAUUUGGUUACAAAGAAGAAUUAGAUAUGGUCUUUAGCUAUUUAUUUUGUAAGACAUGGGUUGUUGAAGAUAACAAUUGCGUCGCUGGAAUUAAUUGGAAUCAAAGGUUUAUCUUUGUAAUAUCACUUAAGAUAUUUUUUUACACGUAUGGGGCAUAAUAAUAAAAUCACUUGUUGGCCACCCCUUGUUAGAAUAUAAGUCAGUCUAAGUUAAUGAAUUAAGUCUUGUAAGCCUAAUUCAAUAAUAGUUGCCUCGUCCUUGUUUACAUAUCUAAUUAACUUCACUUCAUCCACAAAUAACUUUCAUACUUUUCUUGGCCUCACAAUGUAUCUCAAAUGUAGUUCAUAAAUAAUCUUAUACAUUUGUAGCUUGCUUUAGGCGCGACUUAGUCUAUUACCAUGAUUGUAUAUACAUUCACGUGACAUAAUUAUAUUUUUGAAAAUAAAUCGAGGUAUGCAUUCCCGCAACUUCGGCCAAAUUUUCUUAAUAAUAAAGCGUGAUUAAUUGUGGACAUAUACGCGUGCCAUAAUUCUUGAUGAGCCAAAAGAAAUGAGUACACGUACGCGUGACUCGUUUCAGGUUAAUUUCUUAAUUAAAAGCAGUAAAAGGAUUUAAUGCACAUAGGUUUAAAAAUAAGUAAUUAGACAAUUUAAUUGAGUCAGGUAUGAUUAAAGCGACCGUGCUAAAACCAUGGAACUCGGGAAUGCCUAACACCUUCUUCCGGAUUAAUAGAAUUCCUUAACCGAAUUUAUGUGUUCGCGGACUGUAAAACAGAGUCAAACUUCCUCGAUUCAGGAUUUUAAACCAGUGACUUGGGACACCAUAAAUUAUCCCAAGUGACAACUCUGAAUUUUAAAUAAAUAAUCCCGUUUCGAUUAUUGUCACUUUAAUUGGAAAAACUCCCUUAUACCCCCUUUUCGGGGUAGAAAAAGGAGGUAUGACAGUGGGACUCUCCUACUUAGCUUAAAGCUACCAUUGCAUAUACCUGGAACCUACCAAGAUUCUUCCUUUGUUGUUGCACUAGGUACAAUUGCUACAAAAUCAGUAACCAUCCUGAGCCCAUUCUCAUUCGCCAGUCGUACGAGUCCGUUCACUUCUUAUGGACAUCAACUAAAAGGUGCGACAUUACACUUCAACCCAAAGUCAUGUUGUACCCUUCUUCAUAGCAAGCACUCUUUUUUGUCGUAUCCAACUUCUCCCGAAUAAUAUCCAAUAUUCUAAAUUAAGUCCGUAGACCUAAUCACUGUCCACUAUAAAUCCCAAAUCAAUCUAACCUCUUCUCAAGGCAUGUAGUCAUCCUACCACAGAACUCAUAUGCCACUCUGCCACUCUCCCACUUUGGCCAAACUCACUCCUUUAAGCAACUACUUGACUCCUGUUUCUCACACUUGGCCUUCUAGAAGUCUAACCACCGCAUAACACCGCGACCUCUAAUAGCCACUUCUCUGGUACUAUUUCACGCUACCCUUUCCCAAAUGAGAGUUGAAGAACGCCAUAACACCGGCGAACUUAACGUAUUCAACAAGGUCAAUGACACCCGCAUCACAUAUGAAAAUUCUACCACGCUCAAAAAUACCAGCUCUCGCUCUUCAUCAAACCAAACCUGAAUAUUUGUAGUCCGAUUGCCUUUUCCUUCGCCGGAAUUAAAAUACCGAAUCUCUGAAUCAUGCACUGAGCAAACUUCCUCUCAAGUCAUUCACUUCCCAACACACAGGAAAGCAUCUCACCAUCACCUCAAUACUGUGCGAUAACAACUCAUGAGCAACAUAACAACCUCUAUAUAGCCUUGAAGCUCUCAGAAGUACAGCUACUGAGUUGAAAUGAUAAAAUAUCCUUCCGCAAGGCGACGACAAUAGCCCCAUCAACUACGCAGGGGGAAACAUCUCGCACCACAUUUGUAGUAUCAUUACAAUUUCUCAAUUCGAUCUAUAGCAAGCGCUUCAUGUUGCAUAAGAUUGAGUAGGAAGGAAACAAAGGCAUAAGCCUCAAAGGAAUCAAACCGCACGAUGAGGAAUCAAAAAGGGAAGUGCUCCUAACAGCCUUGUAGCCUCUCGAAGAUAAAUACUGACGUCUCUGUACCGAUGCGCAAGACUCUAUUAGACUCGCUCAUGAAUCGUGAGACCUAAGUGAACCUAGUGCUUUGAUACCAUGUUGUCACGACCCAAAAUCCAUUAAAGGCCGUGAUGGCACCGGACACCACUGUCAGGCUAGCCAUCACUAAAUAGUUAUUUAAAUUCUCAUUUUUAUAUUUUUGAGAUCAUAAAUUUCCUUCAACUUAACUAGUAAAAGAUUAACUUUACAGAAUAAUAAUAAUAUUUUCCAAUUUCAAUACUGAAUAUCCCAUCAUCAUACCAAAACCCGGUGUCAAAAGUGCAUGAGCAUUUUUUAGAAAUUAAAAUAAAAUAUAAUAAAUGUCCGAAAUAUAAAUUUGGACAAAAAAGAAAAAUAUAAGUAUUCUGAAGGAGACUCUGCUGGCUGCGGAUCGUCUAGUAAGAUGCAACUCACCUAAGUCCCAUAUCAAUCACGCUGCUGCGCCCAUAAGGCCACUAGAUGUACAUGUGCCUAUACAAAAAAAAUGUACAACAAGUGUAGUAUGAGUACGAAAACCACGCGUAAUAAGUAUCCUAUCUAAUCUCGAAAAAGUAGUGACGAGGGGUCGACUUCGACACUUACUAGUGGUCCAUAAUAUUAGGUACAAUAAAAAAGUGAAUAAAUAUGAAAUAGAGUAAAUAUAUGAAAUAAAAUUGCCCUCCUUACAAUUUGCUCAAGCUCUCAACUAGCAAGUUCCCUCCGUAACCGGAGCAUAUAUAUAGAUAUAGUGGAUUUCAUUAAAGAGGUUGUCAUAAUUCAAAUCAGGAAAAAACCCUCAAAUAUAUUGGCUCUAGCCAAAUAUUACGCACGAUUCCAUGAGGAUAAUAUAUAUAGAAAAUGUCGAGGUGCACGACAGGAUCCAACAUAAAAGUAAAUUGUGCACCGCCGAGGGUCGAACGGCGCGAACCACAGAUGCAUCUAUUAACCUGUCGAGGCGAUUGGCCCGCUCCCAUGAGAGUAGUAGAAGAAGGAUUUACCCCGCUCCCGGAUCAUACUUGCGACACAAUAAAAUAUAAGUUUAUGGAAUUACCCCGCUUGCGAAUCAUACUUGCGAUGCGAUCAAAUAUAAAGUUAAGGAAUUACCCUGCUCGCGGAUUCAUACUUGCAACGUGGUUACACAUAGAUUUCUGAAGUUAUUAUUUAGUAUUCUUCCAUUCUUUACAAAAUACGAAGUUCGAAUUAAAACUUUUAAGAUUUCAAAUUCUUCCUUAAUUUCAACUCCUUUCAAAACAUUUAAUAAGCAAACUCAAUCUCGCUCCUUCUCAAGGCAAACAAUAAUCAUAAAUCAAUAACAAUAUUAACGAAGCAUAAUAUAAGCCUAAAACUAACCAGACAUACGCAUAGCUAGUAGCUACGUACGAACUCUCGUCACCUCGUGCGUACGUAGUCCCUACAAAUAGAAGCACAUAAUAAUUUAGUUCACCUAUGGGGUUAAUUCCUUCUUACAGGGUUAGAAAAGAGACUUACCUCGCUGCGAAAUUCCAUAACCGUCUCCAAUAUCGCUCUAACACCUCAAACCGGAACCUAAUGCUCCAAAACUAGCCAAACAAUGUACAAACCAAUGAAAAUACACUCUAAUACUCAUAACAAUUCUAUUUACAACAAUUCUUAACUCCGCUUGGAAAGUCGAUUGAAACCACCCUUAGGACCACGCACCCGAAUUUCAAAAUUUUUCGAAAAUAAACAUUACCCAUAACCUUACAAACUCAAAUAUUUAGUUUAUUCCCAAUUCCAUGGUCAAAAUCUAAGAAUACCAAUUUCUAGGUUUUUUUUCAAAACCCCAAAUUUCCACCAAUUUCCAUGUUAAAAUCUAUACAUAAUCAAUGUAUUUAACUGAUAAUAGGUGGGGAUAGCUUACCUUGCCAUUGAUGAUGAAAACCCCCUCUUGAAUUCCUCCAAGAAUCGCCCAACCCAAGAGAAGAAUGAAAGAAAAUGGGCCAAAUUCCGUCUUUUAAAUAAACACACUGCCGAGCGAUUCUUCGCACUUGCGGUCACUUGACCACUUCUGCGGUUCCGCAGGUGCGGACAAAAUACCGCUUCUGCGGUCCUCCACCAGACCCUUCGAUUCCACAUCUGCGAUCACCAUCCGCUUUUGCGCCUUCGCUUCUGUAGCUCCCUGCGCGCAGGUGCGAUCCCGCUUCUGUGAACUCAGCCGUAUCUGGUCCCAAUCUUCUCCAGCCUAAGCCGCUUCUACGACCCUCAUGGACACUUUUGUGGCUUCGGCCCUAUGGCCCUAACCAAGCAGGUGCGGUUACACCAGAAGACAUCAGCCUCAGCACCUCCAAAAGGCCAAACUCAAUCCGUUGACCAUCCCGAAUCUAUUCGAGCCCCCCGAGACCCCGUCCAAUUACACAAACCAGUUCAAUAUCAUAACACGGACAUGUUUGAGGCCUCAAAUCACAUCAAACAAUGCUAAAACCAUGAAUCGCACUCCAAUUCAAGCUUAAUGAACUUUAGAACUUCAAACUUCUAUAUUUGAUGCCGAAACCUAUCAAAGCACGUCCGAUUGACCUCAAAUUUUGCACAUAAGUCAUAUUCAUCAUUACGGAUCUACUCCAACUUUCGGAAUCAGAAUCCGGCCUCGAUAUCAAAAGUCCACUUCCGAUCAAACUCCUCAAAAACCUUCAAAUUCUAACUUUCGCGAAAUGACCCCAAAAUGACCUCCGGACCCCCGAAUCCACUUUCGGACACGCUCUCAACACCAGAAUCACUAUACAGAGCUAUUUCCAGACCUUGAAUCCCAAACGACAUCGAUAACAUUGAAAUGCACUUCAACCCAAAUUUAUGAAAUUCUUUCAAAAUGCUAACUUCCACAAUAGGUGCCGAAAUGCUCCCGAGUCAUCCAAAAGCCGAUUCGGACAUACACCCAAGUCCAAAAUCAUCAUACGAACCUGUUGGAACCUUCAAAUCCUGAUUCGGAGGUCGUUUACUCAAAAUCCAACCUUAACAGAAUCUUCCAACUUAAAGCUUUCGAAAUGAAAAUUCUCUUUCCAAAUCAACUCCGAUCUUCCCGAAUUUCAAUUCUAACCAUGUGAAUAAGUCGUAAUACAUGAAGUGUAGCUGCUCGUGGCCUCAAACCGCUGAACAACAUGCUAGAGCUCAAAACGACCGGUCGAAUCGUUACAAAUAUAAAAUCUCUAAAAUGAAUAAUAUUGAGUUACUAUUCUAGAAAAAUAGUUGAGAUAGAUAUAGUUCAAAAUCAAUAAAAUCUUCAAAUUUAGGAAUUUAUAUUGAUUAAAUAGUUUAAAGUAGAAAUACUAUCUAUUGUACUUUUCAAUCGGCUUCUCAAUAAAAAAAUCAAACUGUUUAAUUUUUGUGUUAAUAUGUAAAUUUGUUAUUUUUUUACAUUAUAAAGUAUAGUUUUAGUGUUAAUUAUUUUUUUAACAUCUAAAUAUAUGUAAUAUUUGUCUUUAUUUAAAAAUUAAUAAACAUAAAUUUUUAAUAAAAUACUAAUUAAUCUAAUAGUGGUGGUUCUAGAUAGUAGCUAAUGGUGAUCGGUAGCGAUAUGAUUAUGAUUGGGGAUGGCGGUGGUGGAUGGUGAUAAUUAAUAAUGAUGGGUGGUGGUUGUGGUUGAGAAAGGUGAUGAUGGAUGGUGGUAGUUUAUAAUAGUGGGCAAUGCCGACUAUAAUUAUUGGUGGUGAUGGGGUGGUUGGUUGUGAUAGUUGAGGUGGGUGAGUAUGUGAUUAUGGUUGAAGAUGAUGGAAGUGGGUGUGGUGGAUGUAGUAUGGCGGCGGCUAUGGUUGAGGAUGGUGGUGGUGGUAGCAGUUGAUAAUGGUAGGCGGUGACAUCAAUUAGUAAUAAAAGCGGAUAAUAGUAUCUUAAUGAAAUUAAGUCUUUGUUAUAGAUCUUAAUCAUACAACCUACCAAACUCCAAAUCAUAUGAUCCUUUCAAAAUUUUACUUAUAAAUUCGACUAAAUUUGUUUGUGAUUAGAAUUCGGUGAAAAUUAAUAUUAGUCCAAGUUUUAAAUUAUUAUUUUUUUCAAUAUAAAAUUAUAUUUUGAAGGACAUAAAAGUUCGAUGAGAGGCGAUCUUGAGAGGGGAUUUUCAUACCAAAUCAUUGAGUAAGUAUCUUUAAUCAAUUUUCAACUAUAUUUCAUGAUUUUAUAAAAGAUUUAACAUCAAAUUCAUGAAAAAUCUAUGGAAUAAUUUGGGAAUUUUGUCAAUGUUUUGAGAAAUAAAAAUUUAGGAUUUGAGAGUUGAAUAGGGCUCGGAUUUGAAAACUAAACACAUAUUUGGACUCGUGAGGCUAUGGAUAGUCAAGACCUACCCUUGGACCGGGUUUUGACCGGGCAGGCCCGAGGUUUGACCUUUGCUGAAUUUUUAGAAAUUGAAUAAAAAUCACAACUUUACUAAUUGAAAUUAUUUUCUCUUGCAUUGUGUGAUGUAUUCAAGUCGCCAUCGGCUAGAUUGAGCCGAAUGGAGGUAAACUAGUAAAGGAAAAGGUAAAUUUGAGUGUUGAAUUAGCCGAAUUGAGAUAAGUAUCUUGCCUAACUUUGUCGAGAGAAUUUUUCCUCCUAUUUGACAUUGUUUACUUCAUGCAGGGGUGAUACAUAUACGAGAUGACGGGCAUAUAUGUAUGUGCCAGGGUUAAUCAUGCUCGAGGAUAGAUUAUAUUAUAAUUGUGUCUUGUAGAAUUACAUAACCUUCUUGCUCAUGCCUCACUUGACUUUUAGAUAUUAAGAAGAUAGUAUUAAAUGUUAGAAAUCGAGACUUAGCCUAAUAUAACUUGAUCAAUUUGAUGGAAUUUUGAGAACACAUUGAUGUAUCUAAUUCGGUCAUCUCUAUGCAUAAUCAUUACUGCAUUACUACGGUCGAUAUUUUGAGAUGCUAGAUUCUAUACUUGUAUUGUUGAUAAAUUGUGGGAUUUGUAAAAGUACUUGAAUUAUAUG
rnacentral:lncRNA from 1 species